rnacentral:rRNA from 1 species
CCUACGGGUGGCAGCAGUGAGGAAUAUUGGUCAAUGGACGCAAGUCUGAACCAGCCAUGCCGCGUGCAGGAAGACGGCUCUAUGAGUUGUAAACUGCUUUUGUACGAGGGUAAACGCAGAUACGCGUAUCUGUCUGAAAGUAUCGUACGAAUAAGGAUCGGCUAACUCCGUGCCAGCAGCCGCGGUAAUACGGAGGAUUCAAGCGUUAUCCGGAUUUAUUGGGUUUAAAGGGUGCGUAGGUGGUCGGAUAAGUUAGUGGUGAAAUUCUGAGGCUCAACCUUGGAAUUGCAAUUGAUACUGGUCGGCUAGAGAGUAGUUGAGGUAGGCGGAAUGUAUGGUGUAGCGGUGAAAUGCUUAGAGAUCAUACAGAACACCGAUUGCGAAGGCAGCUUACCAAGCUACGUCUGACGUUGAGGCACGAAAGCGUGGGGAGCAAACAGGAUUAGAUACCCCAGUAGUC